CAAUUGAAUUCUCAUAUGCAAUUAACAAAUGGUCCAAGACUCCAUAAUCAAACCACUUGUUCGUGAAUUGGGAAUUGGCCCAAGUGCCCACUGCCCAACCAUUUUCUUUCAAAGGCAGCCAUAGCCACCGAUCCAAGAAAGAAUCCAAAUGCUCAAUUCCCAAUUCGUGAAAGAAAGCCAAACCCUUUUCCAAUUUUCCUCCCCUCUCCACUCUCCAAUCCACAUGGCGUAGACAGGGAGAGACUCAAUCCCCAUUCUAUAAUUCCAAAUUCCAUUCGAAAUUGAAGAAGAGGCAGCACAGUGAGCACAGACGCUAUGUUUUGCAGCUUCUAUUGCCGAAUGCCGACUGCGAGCCGAGUCUGAGUGUCGUAAGUCUGUGACUGGAUUAAAAGUCUCGCGCCUGACAACCAAGCCGGUGGAAUAUAAGUGAAGCGAAGGAAUUAUUGAAGGAAAGAGAUGGUGAAAAAGGCUGAGCUGUAUUGGAAGCUCUUCAAGAGCUGCAAGAAGAAUGCAGCUGAAGCUUGGAAUGAAUUGAUAUACAAGCCAAUGUGUUAGCUUAUGUACAGAAGAUAAGAGGAAGGGAGGGACGGAUUUGAAAAGUUGUUGUCAUCGAAAUAAGGGCAAUAUACCCCACUGAUGCAGAAAACCUUCUCCAGUGGUCACUUCCAGCACCAGCAGAACAAGGAUGGCCAACAUAGCCGCUCUUCCAUUCCAAGUUUCAGCACUUUUUGUCCAACCCCACGCCCAAACCGUCACAGGAGGUGGUAGCUCUCUACGCUGUGAAUCAUAUGCGGCUAGUAACUCUUCGAUGCUGCCAAGUGGAACUAAAGACUGCAGAGAACAAGAAAGGUGCCGAUGAUAUUUAAACAUAAUGUUAAAAAAAUGUAAACUAAUACGGUGUGAAAAACUCAAAUAGUAAAGUCUUUCCCUCAGAGCAUAUCCAAAAGACUAAACAUAGGAUGCUCUCUAUUCUAAAGAGUCAACUCUUAAAAUUAUACUCAAAAGACUCUUUAAAUUAACAUUUGCUUUCUCUAAAAUUAAGUGCAUUCAAAGUAUUUCAAUUUCCAAUGAAAGAAGAUAAUAAUUUGGAGAGAAGCUAGUAAAAAUAAAAAAUAGAGAAAAACAAUAACUAUUUUUUGAGAGUAAUAAAAUUAAAUGUUAAAUAUAAAGAACUUGCUAAAGUACUUAAAAAAAUUUUACUUUCUAAAUUUAUAGAUUAUCUCUAAAUUGUAGAAUAUGCUCUUUAAAAAAUAGAGUCUCUUGAAGAUACUCUUAGAGUUAGCUCAAUUAUUAUUAUGUGAAAAAUAUAGACGUGGUAGUUUCUGUAGUUGUACUAGGUUACAUGAGGACAAAGGAGAAAACUCAUUUUGUAAGCAAAAAGUAGGGCCUUGCAGUCCCCCCAAAUCAAUAACCCUUCACUGGUCUGCAAGUAAUUUAGCCUAGAAAUAUAGCACAACUUUCCUUCUCCCCCAAGGAAAAAAAGGAGAAUGAAAUAGGAAAUAUAGAACGACAGUAAUGACCCUAUCAGCAAAUCUAAGUCCUUACUAACUUGAACCAUAGAUGAAUGCUUAAUGUCAAGUUUCACAAGGUUGCUGGUUUCUAAGCCCAUUAGUCGGCCUAUUAACAAAACUUCAACUGAUAAC